rnacentral:lncRNA from 1 species
CUUUUGCAAAAGGAAGGUGCGGAUUGACUUUGGUAAUGGAAGAGAAGAAUUAAGGAGCAAGAAUAGAUCAUGAAAUGGAAGACUGGGCUGGGAGAUAGGAAGGGCAGAAGAAAAGCGCAAGUGCCAGGAGAAGAGGAUCCUGGAGGAGGGCCAGGAAACACAGCUAUAAAGAGAUUUGCUCUCUGUUUGAGGUUUUAGGAGCAAUGGAUCAAGGAUGACCCAAUUUAGGAGCUUUCCCAUCAGAGUGGAAAAUGCAUGAAGUUUACUCAUCUUCAC